rnacentral:lncRNA from 1 species
UAUACCUUGAGAGAAAGCUUUACAUGUAGCAGCCAUAUUUAAAUAGUUAUAUAUAGUUUAAUAUUCUGGACACUUAUUCCAUAUUAAUCAGGUCAGUUACUAAUAUUUCUAAGUCUUUAAUAUUUGCACAGUAUUCCUUUAGUUUGAAUCUGAGAGAAAAUGUAUUUUGAAUAAGUCAGAAUGAUUGUGCAUGGAUGAUAGAUAUUUUAUUUUAAAGAAGUAUUUUCAUGAACUCAGAGCAAUAAUAUAUCUAUGAUAUAUUAAUGAUACAUGUAUUGGUACAGUUAUUUUAUUAUUAUAAAAGGUCCAAAGUAAUGUUUGCUGAACAUUAAACUUAUUGUUUAUAUAAAUGCUAGCUGAUAUAGUUAGUUCAUUAGACUUAUGUAGGUUAUAUUUGUAUUUUAACAGGACCAGAAUAUCUUCAUAUUAUAUUAAUCUGGUGAUGUUUCCAAACAGGAGAUAGACCUUUGUACCAUAUACAUGGUAAGAUCAGUGUUACAUGUAUAUUUAGUUUACUGUAUUGUCUG